UACGGAGGGUGCGAGCGUUGUCCGGAAUCACUGGGCGUAAAGGGCGCGUAGGCGGCCUGGUAAGUAGGGGGUGAAAUCCUGCGGCUUAACCGCAGGGCUGCCUUCUAAACUGUCAGGCUAGAGCACGGUAGAGGCAGAUGGAAUUCCCGGUGUAGCGGUGGAAUGCGUAGAGAUCGGGAAGAACAUCAGUGGCGAAAGCGGCGCACUGGACCACAACUGACGCUGAGGCGCGAAAGCUAGGGGAGCAAACAGG
rnacentral:rRNA from 1 species